rnacentral:rRNA from 1 species
GAAGCGGCAACAGCUCAAAUUUGAAAUCUGGCGUCUUUGGCGUCCGAGUUGUAAUUUGCAGAGGAUGCUUCUGGGCAGCCACCGGUCUAAGUGCCUUGGAACAGGCCGUCAUAGAGGGUGAGAAUCCCGUAUGUGACCGGAAGGGCACCCUCCACGUAGCUCCUUCGAAGAGUCGAGUUGUUUGGGAAUGCAGCUCAAAAUGGGAGGUAAAUUUCUUCUAAAGCUAAAUACCGGCCAGAGACCGAUAGCGCACAAGUAGAGUGAUCGAAAGAUGAAAAGCACUUUGGAAAGAGAGUUAAAAAGCACGUGAAAUUGUUGAAAGGGAAGCGCUUGCAACCAGACUUGCCUGCGGUGUUCCGCCGGUCUUCUGACCGGUCUAUUCGCCGCCUGCAGGCCAGCAUCGUUUGGGGCCGCCGGAUAAAAGCGUCGGGAACGUGGCUCCCCUCGGGGAGUGUUAUAGCCCGGCGUGCAAUACGGCGCGCCUCGAGCGAGGUCCGCGCUUCGGCUAGGAUGCUGGCGUAAUGGUUGUAAGCGGCCCGUCUUGAAACACGGACCAAGGAGUCUAACAUCUAUGCGAGUGUUCGGGUGUCAAACCCCUACGCGUAAUGAAAGUGAACGGAGGUGGGAACUUUUUGUGCACCAUCGACCGAUCCUGAUGUCUUCGGAUGGAUUUGAGUAAGAGCAUAGCUGUUGGGACCCGAAAGAUGGUGAACUAUGCCUGAAUAGGGUGAAGCCAGAGGAAACUCUGGUGGA